rnacentral:rRNA from 1 species
AUUGAACGCUGGCGGCAGGCCUAACACAUGCCAGUCGAGCGGAUGAAGGGAGCUUGCUCCUGGAUUCAGCGGCGGACGGGUGAGUAAUGCCUAGGAAUCUGCCUGGUAGUGGGGGAUAACGUCCGGAAACGGGCGCUAAUACCGCAUACGUCCUGAGGGAGAAAGUGGGGGAUCUUCGGACCUCACGCUAUCAGAUGAGCCUAGGUCGGAUUAGCUAGUUGGUGGGGUAAAGGCCUACCAAGGCGACGAUCCGUAACUGGUCUGAGAGGAUGAUCAGUCACACUGGAACUGAGACACGGUCCAGACUCCUACGGGAGGCAGCAGUGGGGAAUAUUGGACAAUGGGCGAAAGCCUGAUCCAGCCAUGUCGCGUGUGUGAAGAAGGUCUUCGGAUUGUAAAGCACUUUAAGUUGGGAGGAAGGGCAGUAAGUUAAUACCUUGCUGUUUUGACGUUACCAACAGAAUAAGCACCGGCUAACUUCGUG